GCACUCCUCACCCAGCCUGCGGCCCCACAACUCACCGCCUAGCCCUUCCCACUAUUUUUAGAGGCAAAGUCUUGCUCUGUCACCCAGGCUGGCGUGCAGGGGGACGAUCCUAGCUCACUGCAGCCUUGAACUCCUGGGCUCAAAUGAUCUUCCCGCCUCAGCCUCCUGGAUAGCUGGGACUAGUGGGAAGCAUGUGCCACUAUGCCUGGCUAUUUUUAUUUGAUUAUAGAGAUGGGGUCUCACUAUGCUGCCUCCUUCUUUACGGUCCAGCCACCAGAAGCAGUUCCUGGUCUCCUGACUCUACUGUGUCACUUCAGGGCUUUGGAACAUGCUUUCCCUCUGCUGGAAGACAUCUGCAGCCACCUCAUCUCCCUCUUCCUUCAGUGCUCUGAGGAACCGUGCGAAUAGUUGAGGCAAGAACAACAUUUGACGUUAUCCUUUUUGAACUGCUCCUGGCCUUAAACUGUCCCAAAAUGUCUCUUCUUUGGAUGGAAUCUCCUUGUUCUGCACUCAAAAUGAAACCUGAAAGAGACUACGAAACACACUCAAGCAACUCCAGAGCUCUUGAGACAAUUACGUGAUUGUGCUCUGCCUUCAACCUGGGCCUCCCCGGCUGCAAAACAAGGAAACAAAACCAAAAAUCACACAAAAAAGUCUUUAUUUUCAUCAUUUUUUUUGAAGGCUUCUUCUCACCUGAACGGUAUGAAUGGCCAAUUCCACAGUUACUUAAUAAAGUCAUAAUCAUAAUUAUUAAUAAUGUAAGGCCGGGCACGGUGCCUCACAUCUAUAAUCCCAGCAGUUUGGGAGGCUGAGGCGGGCAGAUCACCUGAGGUUGAAAGUUCAAGACCAGCCUGACCAACAUGGCAGAACUCCAUCUCUACUAAAAAUACAAAAUUAGCCGGGCAGGGUGGCGCAUGCCUGUAAUCCCAGCUACUCAGGAGGCUGAGGCAGGAGAAUUGCUUGAACCCAGGAGGUGGAGGUUACAGUGAGCUGAGAUCGCGC
rnacentral:lncRNA from 10 species